rnacentral:rRNA from 1 species
AUAAUGGGUCAGCGACUUAUAUUCUGUAGCAAGGUUAACCGUAUAGGGGAGCCGAAGGGAAACCGAGUCUUAACCGGGCGUUAAGUUGCAGGGUAUAGACCCGAAACCCGGUGAUCUAGCCAUGGGCAGGUUGAAGGUUGGGUAACACUAACUGGAGGACCGAACCGACUAAUGUUGAAAAAUUAGCGGAUGACCUGUGGCUGGGGGUGAAAGGCCAAUCAAACCGGGAGAUAGCUGGUUCUCCCCGAAAGCUAUUUAGGUAGCGCCUCGUGAAUUCAUCUCCGGGGGUAGAGCACUGUUUCGGCUAGGGGGCCAUCCCGGCUUACCAACCCGAUGCAAACUGCGAAUACCGGAGAAUGUUAUCACGGGAGACACACGGCGGGUGCUAACGUCCGUCGUGAAGAGGGAAACAACCCAGACCGCCAGCUAAGGUCCCAAAGUCAUGGUUAAGUGGGAAACGAUGUGGGAAGGCCCAGACAGCCAGGAUGUUGGCUUAGAAGCAGCCAUCAUUUAAAGAAAGCGUAAUAGCUCACUGGUCGAGUCGGCCUGCGCGGAAGAUGUAACGGGGCUAAACCAUGCACCGAAGCUGCGGCAGCGAACGUAUCACUUAAAGCGAUUCAGCGGGUUACGAUUGACGGAGCGAAGCGACGUCAAAGCGUAUACAAAGUCGAGUCGGUUUA